AUAAGACGCUAUGGAAAGAAAAAUGAUAGCAUAGCCAUUUUUAUGGGACCGACAUCUCAGAGCAGGUGACAUUGAGCUGAACUCUGGAAGAAGAGAAGGAGCCAUGAGGCUGAGAUGAGGAGAAGCCUUCCAGACAGAGUCCUGCUGGACUCCUGCCCUCAGCCUGGCCCACUGCUUCUGGGAACACACACAGCCGUGGUUGCCCUGUUCUGAUGGUUCCCAACACGUCACAGAAAUCUAUGAUGGAAAAAAUCCACGAUGAUGAAAACAGAAUCCAGGCACACCACCGUGGACACCUCCUCAGGAAGAGCCUCAGGAAGGUUCUCCAGAAGGGAUCCCGAAAAAGGCUCCAUCAUCACAGGAGAUGAUAGCUCCAUGCGUGUAAUUGCCCCCGAAAGUUUUCCAGUGGGGCGAGAUGUGAAGGUGGAAGACAGUGAUGUUGAGGGUCCUCACCUUGUGUAGGGCUAGGCCAAUGUGUGUGUUUCUGUCUUCAUUUGUGACAAAAACCUUCUGAAAGGUAAA